rnacentral:rRNA from 1 species
GGUUAAGCGACUAAGCGUACACGGUGGAUGCCUAGGCAGUCAGAGGCGAUGAAGGGCGUGCUAAUCUGCGAUAAGCGUCGGUAAGCUGAUAUGAAGCGUUAUACCCGACGAUACCCGAAUGGGGAAACCCAGUGUGUUUCGACACACUAUCAUUACGUGAAUACAUAGCGUAAUGAGGCGAACCGGGGAACUGAAACAUCUCAGUACCCCGAGGAAAAGAAAUCAACCGAGAUUCCCCUAGUAGCGGCGAGCGAACGGGAGGAGCCCAGAACCUGAAUCAGUUUGUGUGUUAGUGGAAGCGUCGGGAAAGUCGCACAGUAAAGGGUGAUAGUCCCGUACACAAAAAUGCACAGAUUGUGAGUUCGAUGAGUAGGGCGGGACACGUGACAUCCUGUCUGAAUAUGGGGGACCAUCCUCCAAGGCUAAAUACUCCUGACUGACCGAUAGUGAACCAGUACCGUGAGGGAAAGGCGAAAAGAACCCCGGCGAGGGGAGUGAAAUAGAACCUGAAACCGUGUACGUACAAGCAGUGGGAGCCUUGAUUAAUCAGGGUGACUGCGUACCUUUGUAUAAUGGGUCAGCGACUUAUAUUCUGUAGCAAGGUUAACCGUAUAGGGAGCCGCAGGAAACCGAGUCUUAACUGGGCGUUAAGUUGCAGGGUAUAGACCCGAAACCCGGUGAUCUAGCCAUGGGCAGGUUGAAGGUUGGGUAACACUAACUGGAGGACCGAACCGACUAAUGUUGAAAAAUUAGCGGAUGACUUGUGGCUGGGGGUGAAAGGCCAAUCAAACCGGGAGAUAGCUGGUUCUCCCGAAAGCUAUUUAGGUAGCGCCUCGUGAAUUCAUCUUCGGGGUAGAGCACUGUUUCGGCUAGGGGGUCAUCCCGACUUACCAACCCGAUGCAAACUACGAAUACCGAAGAAUGUUAUCACGGGAGACACACGGCGGGUGCUAACGUUCGUCGUGAAGAGGAAACAACCCAGACCGCCAGCUAAGGUCCCAAAGUCAUGGUUAAGUGGGAAACGAUGUGGGAAGGCACAGACAGCCAGGAUGUUGGCUUAGAAGCAGCCAUCAUUUAAAGAAAGCGUAAUAGCUCACUGGUCGAGUCGGCCUGCGCGGAAGAUGUAACGGGGCUAAACCAUGCACCGAAGCUGCGGCAGCGACACUCAGGUGUUGUUGGGUAGGGAGCGUUCUGUAAGCCGUCGAAGGUGGCCUGUGAGGGUUGCUGGAGGUAUCAGAAGUGCGAAUGCUGACAUAAGUAACGAUAAUGCGGGUGAAAACCCGCACGCCGGAAGACCAAGGGUUCCUGUCCAACGUUAAUCGGGGCAGGGUGAGUCGACCCCUAAGGCGAGGCUGAAAAGCGUAGUCGAUGGGAAACAGGUUAAUAUUCCUGUACUCGGUGUUACUGCGAAGGGGGACGGAGAAAGCUAGGUUAUCCGGGCGACGGUUGUCCCGGUUUAAGCGUGAAGGUGGAUGACUUUGGUAAAUCCGGGUCGUCAUUAACACUGAGGCGUGAUGACGAGUCACUACGGUGAUGAAGUAACCAAUGCUACGCUUCCAGGAAAAGCCUCUAAGCUCCAGGUAACAUCAAAUCGUACCCCAAACCGACACAGGUGGUCAGGUAGAGAAUACUCAGGCGCUUGAGAGAACUCGGGUGAAGGAACUAGGCAAAAUGGUGCCGUAACUUCGGGAGAAGGCACGCUGAUGGUAGGUGAAGUGACUUGCUCACGGAGCUGAAAUCAGUCGAAGAUACCAGCUGGCUGCAACUGUUUAAUAAAAACACAGCACUGUGCAAACACGAAAGUGGACGUAUACGGUGUGACGCCUGCCCGGUGCCGGAAGGUUAAUUGAUGGGGUCAGCCGCAAGGCGAAGCUCUUGAUCGAAGCCCCGGUAAACGGCGGCCGUAACUAUAACGGUCCUAAGGUAGCGAAAUUCCUUGUCGGGUAAGUUCCGACCUGCACGAAUGGCGUAAUGAUGGCCAGGCUGUCUCCACCCGAGACUCAGUGAAAUUGAACUCGCUGUGAAGAUGCAGUGUACCCGCGGCAAGACGGAAAGACCCCGUGAACCUUUACUAUAGCUUGACACUGAACCUUGAGCCUUGAUGUGUAGGAUAGGUGGGAGGCUUUGAAGCGUGGACGCCAGUCUGCGUGGAGCCAACCUUGAAAUACCACCCUUUAAUGUUUGAUGUUCUAACGUGGGCCCGUGAUCCGGGUUGCGGACAGUGUCUGGUGGGUAGUUUGACUGGGGCGGUCUCCUCCCAAAGCGUAACGGAGGAGCACGAAGGUUAGCUAAUCCUGGUCGGACAUCAGGAGGUUAGUGCAAAGGCAUAAGCUAGCUUGACUGCGAGAGUGACAGCUCGAGCAGGUGCGAAAGCAGGUCUUAGUGAUCCGGUGGUUCUGAAUGGAAGGGCCAUCGCUCAACGGAUAAAAGGUACUCCGGGGAUAACAGGCUGAUACCGCCCAAGAGUUCAUAUCGACGGCGGUGUUUGGCACCUCGAUGUCGGCUCAUCACAUCCUGGGGCUGAAGUAGGUCCCAAGGGUAUGGCUGUUCGCCAUUUAAAGUGGUACGCGAGCUGGGUUUAGAACGUCGUGAGACAGUUCGGUCCCUAUCUGCCGUGGGCGUUGGAAGAUUGAGAGGGGUUGCUCCUAGUACGAGAGGACCGGAGUGAACGCACCACUGGUGUUCGGGUUGUGAUGCCAAUUGCAUUGCCCGGUAGCUAAGUGCGGAAGAGAUAACCGCUGAAAGCAUCUAAGCGGGAAACUUGCCUCGAGAUGAGUCUUCCCUGGGUACUUGAUACCCCUGAAGGGCCGUUGAAGACUACGACGUAGAUAGGCUGGGUGUGUAAGCGUAGCGAUACGUUGAGCUAACCAGUACUAAUGACCCGAGAGGCUUAACCUU